GGGGGGGGGGGGGGGGGGGGGGGGGGGAGGGGGGGCGGAGGAGGGCGGCGGGUCGGGGGGCGCACGGGGGCGUAACGCGGGGGAACCUGCCCUGAGGUUCGGAAUAACUCCCCGAAAGGGGUGCUAAUACCGGAUAAUGUCUUCGGACCAAAGAUUUAUCGCCUUUGGAUGGGCCCGCGUUGGAUUAGCUAGUUGGUAGGGUAAAAGCCUACCAAGGCGACGAUCCAUAGCUGGUCUGAGAGGAUGAUCAGCCACACUGGGACUGAGACACGGCCCAGACUCCUACGGGAGGCAGCAGUGGGGAAUAUUGGACAAUGGGCGAAAGCCUGAUCCAGCAAUGCCGCGUGAGUGAUGAAGGCCUUAGGGUUGUAAAGCUCUUUUACCCGGGAUGAUAAUGACAGUACCGGGAGAAUAAGCUCCGACUAACUCCGUG
rnacentral:rRNA from 1 species